rnacentral:rRNA from 1 species
UACGUAGGGGGCAAGCGUUGUCCGGAAUCAUUGGGCGUAAAGAGCGCGUAGGCGGCCCAGUAAGUCCGCUCUGAAAGUCAGAGGCUCAACCUCUGAAUGCGGGUGGAUACUGCUGGGCUAGAGUCCGGAAGAGGCGAGUGGAAUCCUGGUGUAGCGGUGAAAUGCGCAGAUAUCGGGAGGAACACCAGUAGCGAAGGCGGCACUCUGGGCCGGUACUGACGCUGAGGAGCGAAAGCGUGGGGAGCGAACAGG